rnacentral:rRNA from 1 species
GACGAACGCUGGCGGCGUGCCUAAUACAUGCAAGUUGAGCGAUGAAGCUUGGUGCUUGCACCAAUUUGAAGAGCAGCGAACGGGUGAGUAACGCGUGGGGAAUCUGCCUUUGAGCGGGGGACAACAUUUGGAAACGAAUGCUAAUACCGCAUAACAACUUUAAACAUAAGUUUUAAGUUUGAAAGAUGCAAUUGCAUCACUCAAAGAUGAUCCCGCGUUGUAUUAGCUAGUUGGUGAGGUAAAGGCUCACCAAGGCGAUGAUACAUAGCCGACCUGAGAGGGUGAUCGGCCAUAUUGGGACUGAGACACGGCCCAAACUCCUACGGGAGGCAGCAGUAGGGAAUCUUCGGCAAUGGACGAAAGUCUGACCGAGCAACGCCGCGUGAGUGAAGAAGGUUUUCGGAUCGUAAAACUCUGUUGGUAGAGAAGAACGUUGGUGAGAGUGGAAAGCUCAUCAAGUGACGGUAACUACCCAGAAAGGGACGGCUAACUACGUG